GACGAACGCUGGCGGCGUGCUUAACACAUGCAAGUCGAACGGAAAGGCCCUGCUUUUGUGGGGUGCUCGAGUGGCGAACGGGUGAGUAACACGUGAGUAACCUGCCCUUGACUUUGGGAUAACUUCAGGAAACUGGGGCUAAUACCGGAUAGGAGCUCCUGCUGCAUGGUGGGGGUUGGAAAGUUUCGGCGGUUGGGGAUGGACUCGCGGCUUAUCAGCUUGUUGGUGGGGUAGUGGCUUACCAAGGCUUUGACGGGUAGCCGGCCUGAGAGGGUGACCGGCAACAUUGGGACUGAGGUGCGGCCCAGACUCCUACGGGAGGCAGCAGUGGGGAAUAUUGCACCAUGGGCGGAAGCCUGAUGCAGCAACGCCGCGUGCGGGAUGACGGCCUUCGGGGUGUAAACCGCUUUCGCCUGUGACGAAGAGUGAGUGACGGUAAUGGGUAAAGAAGCACCGGCUAACUACGUG
rnacentral:rRNA from 1 species